AUGUAAAAAAAGUGUUUUCAGACAAAGAAGUAGACAGCGAGUCAGAAUUUUGACCCAACUAUUAUUUAAAGAAGGAAAUAGAAGGAAGAAGGACAACCUAGUUGGAGAGUUGAGUGAGGUCCCGUUGAGGUUCCGUUCCGAGACUCUGUCAUUACAUAGACAUUGAAAAUUACAAAUUAAAAACAUAAAUAAAAUUACAAAAGUCGUAUCUAUGCACCUGUCCUUGGCUCUUGACUUAUUAUUUCAUCACCCUAUUCUCAAGGCGGGCUCCUGACUUACAAUUUCCUUACUUUGUCCUCCGUGCGAGCUCCUGUCUUGCAAUUCCAUCACUUUGUUGCUUGGCUUUCAAUUUUUUCACCCUGUUCUCCAGGCGGGCUCCUAACUUGCUAUUUCUUCAAUCUGUUGACUUUUAAUUUCUUUACCUUGUUGCUUGACUUUCAACUUCUUCUCCUUAUUGCUUGACUUUCAACUUCUUCAGCCUGUUCUCCAGGUGGGCUCCUAAAAUCACAUCAAAACUAGAAAUAAAAUUAUUUCAAACAAAGAUUAUUAUAAAGAGUGAUUUCAUUUGCUAGAAAAGUAAAGUUCCAAACAACAGGAAUUAAAUUUUUGCCUAGUUUAUCAUCAGAGGACUUUUGUAAAAGUCAUAUCAUAAUUACUUGAAAAACCUAAACAAGGAAAUGAAUCUUCUCUGGGUUAAUUGGAAUUAUUCGGCUAGAAAGUGCAUUUUCUAGGAGUCAAGGGGAAUGACUCGACUAGAAAGUAUAUUUUCUAGGAAUCAAGGAGAAUGACUCGACUAGCAGGUACAUCUUCUGGGAAUCAAAAGGAAUGACUCGAAUAUAAAGUAUAUCUUCUAAGAAUCAAGCGGAAUGACUCGACUAGGAGGUACAUCUUCUGGGAGUCAAAGGUAAUGACUCGAUUAGAAAGUACAUCUUCAAAGAAUCAAGGAAAAUGACUUGACUAGGCGGUACAUCUUCUGGGAGUCAAAGGUAAUGACUCGAUUAGAAAGUACAUCUUCAAAGAAUCAAGGAAAAUGACUUGACUAGGAGGUACAUCUUUUGGGAGUCAAAUUGAAUAACUCGACUAGAAAGUAUAUCUUCUAAGAAUCAAUGGGAAUGACUCGACUAGGAGAUACAUCUUCUGAGAGUCAAAGGGAAUGACUCGACUAGAAAGUACAUCUUUUAAGAAUCAAGGAGAACUACUCGACUAGGAGGUACAUCUUCUGGGAGUCAAAGGGAAUGACUCGACUAGAAAGUACAUCUUCUAGAAAUCAAGGGGAAUAACUUAACUAGGAGGUACAUCUUCUGGGAGUCAAAGGGACUGACUCGAUUAGAAAGUACAUCUUCUAGGAAUCAAGGGGAAUAACUUAACUAGGAGGUACAUCUUCUGGGAGUCAAAGGGAAUGACUCGAUUAGAAAGUAUAUCUUUUAGGAGUGAAGGUUCAAUUUAAGAAGUGUAUCACCUAGCAAUUGAAAACUGAAAUACCUGAACAAGGAAGUGUGUCUCCGAAGGACAUAGGAUGAUGAAUUUUUACCAUGAUUUAAUUAUCAAUCUUGUGCAACAACAUUGCUUCCUGUAUUUGUAGAAGUGAGGCAUUGCAACCCUUGAUAUUUAUGCUUUGAAGUCCUUGAUUUGAAGGUAACAUAUUUCCUAUUUCAUCGAAGAAAACUUGUGAGUUUAAACAUGGUGGCUGGUUUGUGGCUUUGGCUUUCGUGGCAAAUGCUCUUGCCCUCAUCACAUUUAACCUUGCUUCCAACCAUUAUCAUAUAUCAUUAAAUUGUUGCAUCAUUGACCCAAACUCAGAUUAUUAAGAGUGACUCUGAAACAAAUACAGUAUCUCUGCUUUGCCAGGCUUCUCAGAUAAACCCUUUGAACCUUGGUAUUUUCAUGAGUUUCCAGACUUGUCUGUUGAUAAAAUUUUCUGCAUGCCUUAUUUUGGCUCACAAUUAUGUCUCUUUCAUGUGUUGGCCCUUUGUCUUGCUUUGUGCAAUUGAAGAAGCUGGUAGGCAGUUUUGAAAUCUUUUCUCACUUAUUUUGACAUGGACUUGGCUCAAAGACACGAGAAAAAUGACAAUGUUUUUUUUUAUUUGGACAACUGACUCAAAAAGUUGCCUGACCUUUUCAUCCAAACUUUCCACUAAUUGUUAUUGAGUUAAUGGCCCUAAAACUGAGUUGCUUCCUUGGGCAAAUUGUAUUCAGAGACCUCAUUUGGCUAGUGAUGCCUUGAAGGAUUUUCACCAAUAAGCCUCUUUUAUUUUCUUUUUUUCAGCUCACCAUUGCCUUAUGGUGUCUGUGAGCGUUUUUCACCAAUGAGACUCUCUUAUUUUCAUUUCUCUCAACUCACAGUCGUCUUACGGUGCCCAUGAAGGUUUUCACCAAUAAGAAUCUCAUUUUUAUCUCUCUCACUUACCAUCUUCUUAUGGUGCUCAUGAGGAUUUUUACCAAUAAGACUCACUCAUUUUUAUUUCUCUCCUAAUUCUGCCGAGAAGGAUAAGUACUUCAAAAAAUGCAUUAUCAUAUGCAUUAUUUGCUUAACCUUAUCAUUCUCAGAGAUUGAUCUGAAGGUCUUUCUUUGGUUGUAACUUGACUUUUGGAUAAGGUUAGAAAGAAGGAAUGGUAUAAGGCCCAAACGAUACUUGAAGUGGGGUAGGACUUACAAGUUUUGGAAUUGAUUCAAACAAUGUGGAUUAAUUCAUGCCCCAGUUUCUUUUGGUUGGGUGAUUCUAAAUUAUUUAUUUGGUUGGACCGAGCCCAGAGUAGGGCAGCCUACGUAUCUUACCCCUGAGAUAGGAGAAUCAGGUCACACGUAGUUCCGACAACUUGUGUUUUUGCUUGAUUCUGACUUCUUCUUUUUCUCUUUUAUUGACUCUUUUUCUCUUUGAAACUUUUUCUGACUCUAUUUUUCUUCACACUCUUCGUUUUUCUUUCUUUUUGGAUAUAUUUUCUUUUUCUUUCUUUUUUGAAACCUUUCUGACUCUAUUGUUUUGCUCGACACUUUUCUUUUUAGCUUUGUUGACUCUAUCUUGAUUCCAAAAGAGGUGUAUGAAAGAAAAUAAAAUUAUGGCUCAAAUGAGGUAAACAAAGGAUUACAGAAUGCUUGAAUAACAGAAUGAAAUGCCUUCGUCAUAUCAAUCCUUUAAAAUGCAAGUACAUAUCAUGCAAUAUGAAAUGAAAAAUGAAGAUUAUUUGUGACACUUUAACCACACUAACUUUAACUAAGCAUGUGUGCCACUUCUUCUUCCACACUUGUCAAACAUACAACUCCAUCUUUGUUGUACAUUCCUCACAUCGAAGACCCAUGCUUUUGUGGAGCUGAUUAUCUUCAUAUUUCUGUUGUAUAGGGAUCACACGUCCACUAUUUGACCUAAUUGAGCUAUGCUUUUCAAUUGAUGACCAAAUUAUUCUUGUGAUUCUCAAAAUAAUUGCCUUAAUUUUGAAAGAAGCCUUCAACAUUGUCACCAAAUGUCUUAACAUGCUACCUAUUUUCUUAGAUGCUUUUUCUAACCUUAGCCCUUUGAUUCAAAGUUCAUGAUCAAAUUGGAUUUUAAGAUCUAGCUGAAAAUUUUGCCAGGAUGUCAUAUCACUAGAAUCACCAUAAAAUGUACUGUGUAAAAAAAACAAACAAACAACACAUAUUUAAAACACAAAGGGAAAAGGAUACUCCAUUUAGUUAACCUUAGCCCUCUGAUUCAAAGUUCAUGCUCAAAUUGGAUUUUAAGAUCUAGCUGAAAAUUCUGCCAGCAUGUCAUAUCACUAGAAUCACCAUAAAAUGUACUGUGUAAAGAAAACAAAUAAACAACACAUAUUUAAAAUACAAAGGGAAAGGGACACUCCAUUUAUUUAAAAUGAAAGUUAGAAGGGUUUGAACAUAAACGAUAAAAGGUUAAAACAAGAUAGAUCCUGACCUACAACCCUGAAAUAAUUUGGAUAACAGAAAAGAGAACAAAACAAACUACCAAACCUCUUCCUAGUAAGGAGAGGAGCGACUUCUCAAUUGCUAAGCCUGACAUCUUAUCCACUGGUUUGCAUAUCAGCAUAACUAGAGCUUCUACCACUGUCAGACAUAUUUUCUUCAACAAAUAAGUUAUUGAUCCCCACGCUCAACUCAUUGUUUCCCACAUAUUGUGCAUUAUCAUGUGUUGGUGAAGGAUUCUGUGUGACCUUGUAGUGUCAAUGUUUUGCACUAUGAUCAAUUUUUCUUAAAUCAUUCUUUCUAUUUCUCUUUUCAAAGCGCUACAACCUUCAAUACUGUGACCCUGAACAUCAGAAUGAUAUGCACAUCGUACAUGAGGAUCAAUGUUUCUAGAAUGUGGAUCAGGAGUACACCUAAGGAGAGGAUUGAUCAUGCCCAACUCUCUCAAUCUCUGGAAUAAACUGGCAUACGACUCUCCAAUUAGUGUAUAAUUGUCCUUUGACUUUCUCCUCUUUGCAAACUUUGGCCUUAGUUGAUACUUGGACUUAGAAGUUCCUUGGUAAAUAUGUGGGGGUCGAGGACAAUGUUGAAGGACAAGUGCACGCCAUUGUGGAUAAGAAGGCGGAUGAGUAUACCAAUGCGCAUUAUUCAAAGGAUAAUGAGGAAUUGUAAUGGAAUAUAUUGGAUUUGGCGAAGAGGAACCUUGUUGCAGGUGAGCUUGUGGAUUUGAUGUAUAAGCUCAGGAUCGAGCUUGAUAAUAUUGCUGAGUUGGACCUCUAGAGCUCUACUUUGACCCUGGAAUGACAAUAGGUAUGUUUUUCUUCUUCUUCCCUUCAGUACCCCCAACUAAUGGCAAUAUCAUCCCAAGUGUUUUAUAGAAUCCUCGUACCCAUCAUGUUUCUCAAAUUGUGGUACCUCAGAUUUGGGAGAGAGUUUAAUACUUGAAGACAUGCCCCAGUCCUUAUAUAAAAGAUUUUCAUAAUUUGCAAGUCAUAGAGAAUUUUUCAUAACCCUUUCUGCACUCUUCAUUUUCCUAUCCAUUUUCUCUUGUUCUUUAGCAGAUUGGGAAAGCAUAAUCGUUGGGUUGAUAGCUAAAUUAGGGGCCUCAGUAAAAGGUUGAGCAACAAAAGCACAGACGGUAUAUGGUGCUGUGAAUGUGGUUGGAUUAUACCGAGGAGCUAAAGAAAUAGAGGUGGAAGUAUUGGGAUGCAUUUGACAUGGAAUUGAUUCCGAGGCAUGUUGUAGUGCAUCAAAAACAGUAGGAAACUGACUUUCCAAUUGUGAUGGAAAACUCAAGGGAUUUGCAUGGUCAAUAGCGGGAAAUGGAGGAGGAGGUAACCCACUAGCCCAAACUCGAUGAAUUUCUGUCAUUCGUUGCCUUAGUCUCAAAAUCUCUUGCUUCAAACUCUCAUUUUCCUGACUCUUUGUCUGAUCCAUGAUGUCACUUUCUAUAUCCUUGUUGGACACAACUAACUCUUCCUUGGAUUUGGUGUGAUGUGGAGGACCAUCUACAAUGCCACAAUGUCACAAACCAACCACCUUAAACUAAUUGAACAAGAGAUAACGAAAGUGUUAGAUUUCAAUACUUUCUCAGAACCUUUUUCUUUUUUCCUAUUCUUUGAAAAAGAUCACCAAACCCAAGAAGGGCACCUAGGUAUCUCACUCCAAAAAAGGAGAAUCUGGUGUGCGUAGUUCAUGAAGUUUGGCCGCAAAAUGACCGUUCAACUCUUUUUUUUUUUCUUGAAAUUUUGAGAAGAAAAUAAAUAACAAAUUGUCAAAAGAAUUGGCGAAUUAUUAUUUUUUUUGAAUUUUUUCAGCUUUAACGUCCCUAUACAAAAUAAAACCUAUGAUUACCAAAGAAAAUAUUUUUGGGUUUUCGAUUUUGAGUUUCAGAUGAAAAUGAAGCUUGGACCUAUUAAAAGAAAAUCUUUUUUGUAGUUUUCUUUUAAAGAUGUAUAUGAAAUACCUACUCUAAAUGUAGAGUGAAGAAAAUCUUUUUGGAUUUUUGAAAUAAGAUCAGAGAACCCUAGAAGGGUGCCUACUUAUCUCACUCCCGAAAGAGGAGAAUCAGGUGUGCGUAGUUCGUCAAGAUUGGACAAUUAAAGAUUAAAAAAUCAACUGAACCUUGACUUGUGAGACAUGACCUCAAACAAAAGAUGAAAACGUCAACAAUUUUUUUUUGAGUUUUUAAUUUGACACUUAAUAUAAAAAAUGACAUAACAAGUAUGAAAGAAAAAUCUUUUUGGUAUUUUCGUUAUAUGCAAUGUACAAAACUUUCAACAUCUUUUUGAAUUUUUCUUUUAUAGAAAGCUCCUAUUGAAAAAAUCUUUCUUUUUUUUUUUUUUGAAGUUUUUGAAUUAUGAAUGCUUGCUAAAGAAAUCAAAAGAAAAAUCUUUUUGAUUUUUUUUGAGAAAAUGAGUGUAAAAGGUAAAAAAUCUUUUUGAAUUUUUGGAUUUUAGAAAACAAAAGCCAUAAAGAACUCUAAAAACUACGAAACUUUUUUUUGACUCACUUUUUUUUUCUUUGCUUAAACAUACGCUCCUUUAAUUCUAACAUAUGCUUUCCCCAAACCAAUCCUUCAAAUGACCCUGUUAUCCUCAAAGAUGUAAUAAUUAGUACGUAAGGAUGCUUUAGGGUGAGUCUCUUACAAAGGAUUAAGCGGGUCCCACUAGGUCUCAAUAUGAUGUAGAUAAGUAUGACUUAAAGGCUGACCUAGGAUGGGGUCCACUAACAAGGUUGUUCGGGGGUGCAUAUGGUCAAUAGUGACUACGAUUGCUUUCCACCUACUCCAUACAUCCAAUAGCUCCCCCUCCUAAAAUAAGGGUGACUCAACUAGAGUUUAUGUACAUGAAGUAUACUCCAGGACUUGUUGCGAAAGAAUUGACUUCGGGUAAUGCAUAUGAUGCCAGAUAUAAAAUGGUGACACAUAAGGAAAGACUAUAAACAAAGAGCAGGCAGGCAUCUAACAAUGACGAAACAAUAACACAAACAAAAUGUCUAUACACUUAUAGUGUCAAACUAAGCCGCUACAACUCAAAAAAUAAGCUCGAAUUCUAAAAAUAUUCUCUAACAGAGUUGCCAGAGCUGUCACACCCCCUUUUCAACCAAAAAAGAUAUUGAUUUUUAAGUUUGAAAGAUUUUUAUUAUUAAGUGACAAAAAAUGAAAAUUUAUUUCGAAAAGGAUUGUUUAUAUUCAAAACUCAGAGUCACCACUUGGCAUAAAUCGGGUGUGCCAAGUCACCCUUAGAUUUCCUUUUUCAAAAUGAUUUUGACUUUUUAAAAUGGAUCCACGAACAAAGAUUUUGGUUAAGGAAUUUUGUUGACUGAGGGGACGGUGUUAGGAACCCCUCGGUCCCUUGGUUCUACCACGGUCACUUCGUAGAGUAUAUAUCGGCUAGUAGACACUAUAAAAUGUAUAAUCCAACAAAACACACAAAACAAGCAAACAAACAAACCAAACUAAAAUAAGUCCAAAACAAUAUUGUCCAGUCCAAUUAUUACAGUUUGAAAUAAAAAUAUACUGAAAUGUAAACCUACGCUAAUCCUAAACUAUUCUCCACCCAGUGCGUCGACCCUUGAUCACGAACGUCCUUCGGGUAUAAAAAACUUCGGAGCAUUCCCCGGUGAAUAGAUACAAAUUGUCUCGGGGCAUUCCCCGGCUAAAUGAAUACAAUUUUUUAGUGCGAGAAAAUCAAACCAUUCAACAAAUUUCAAACAUUCAACAAAGCCACGAGUCCUAAACUUUGCCUACCCAACCUACGUUUUCCUAUCAAUUGUCGGCCUAAAUAAGAUAUUAUCGAUGUUAGCCAGAUUUGAUAUCUAUUCCAAAUUAACAAUCAACAAUAAACCAAAACAAAUCAUAUUUGCCUUUUAUUGAUUUUCAAUUCCUACCUUUAAUUCUAUUCUCAAAUUCCCGAUUUCUCCUCCAAAACAAAAUUAAUCAAACAUUGAUCAAACCAUAUCCAAUUUCUUCAUUCGAAUGCAUUCAACCCAUUCAACAUAAUUCCAACAAUUCCACAUGAUCACAAUAACACAUAUUCAAGGAAACAAAAAAUGAAUCAACACCAAACAAGUGUUCACCAUCAAUGCGGAUCAAACAAUAAACAAAACAUUCAAUCCAUAACACCGAAGAUCAUAAAUUGUGAAAUAAAAGAAAUAGAAUAGAAUUGGACCUCAAUUGUCGAUUUUGAUAUAUCAAAGAUCGAACCACAUCCGAAACCUCGAACGGAACCAUAACAGUCGACAAAAUAACUUGAAUCGAGAAAUAUAACCCAGACAGAUUCGACCAAGAAGAAGAACUCAACACAAACCCCAAAACCAAUCAAAUAAUGAUACGAAUCAAAUAACAAAAACCUAUAAGAAAUAUUAUUUGAACCCAAUUUCUCGAAGAAGACGAAUAUCGAAAAUAACGACACAUAAAGGUCUCUAAGGCGUCUCCCGAUGCCUAACCGGACAAAGUUCAGAUGGAUUUCCAAUGAGCAACUCGCCAUUAAUCGAUCUCUCUAUUUUUCCUUUCAUUCCCUUCUCCCAUGGAUCCUUUGUUUUUUUUUUUCAAGUUUCUCUGUGUGUAUGUGUAUGUGUGUGUAACUCCGAUGAGUGCGUGUAUAUGCUUUUUUCAAUGAGUGUUGAUGGGGUUUUAUAUGUAUGACUGUGUGUGUGCUUUAUGAAGAAGAAGAGAAAAUAGAGUCUGUGUAAAAAAUGGUCCCCGUUUCAAUGAGGCGUGAGUGUGUGUAUAUAGUAAUUAGGGUGGGGUGUGUGGGUAGAAGGGGGUAUGGGGUAUGAAAUGUGAGGUGACAAAAUUAGUAAGAGUGGGUGGUGAAUUUAUAAAGAUGGGGUGUUAAAAGUUGUUAAGAAUUUGUUGGAUUUGUUAUUGUGGAAAUUAUCACAUGAGUGAAGAUACGUGGUAAGACAGGGUAAAAAUAAUAAAAAAUAGUUUUUGACGGGAUAAAAUUACGUGUCUACACUUAUUAAAGACUAAUCACACUAACUAGAAACAACACUUUACCAGUCUAACGUAAAACUUAAACCAAACCCACAAAAACUCAGGCCAAACAAUGCAAUACAACAACUCUGUUAACAAUUUUAAUAAUAAAACUUUGAUGGAAUAAAAUAGAGAAGCGAAUAGAUGUACUGACCUUUUCUAUGGAAGCUAACCAGGAAGACAAGUCCAAGAGCAAUUCUACUACUACCUUUGACUUCGAAUUCAAACGACGAUAAGAAAUAAUUAAAGCGAUGUAAGUAAAUUAGGAAAUAAAAUAGAGAAUUUUGUGAAUCAGAGAGUGUGAUAAAACUCAGGUAUUCCCCAAUUUCUCUAUCCUUUUUCUUCUUCUUUCAAGGAGUGAACAAGGCCUCUUUAUAUAGGCAAAAUUGGGCUACCCAACCUCUCUUUGAAGCUUUUCAAAAUUCAAAUUUAGUAACGAUUAAGAGUAUUGAGAAAGAAAAUCACCUUUUUCAGAAAGGAUUUGAAAGAUUUUGACAAUUUCGAUUCUUCAAGGUGAACAAUUAUUUGUCCACAGAAUCAAAGAAAAAAUACUCCCCAAAACCCUUGAACCUGUAUAUUCCUCCCUUUUCAGAAAGAAAUUGAGGUGAUGUUAAUGGAGACAGGCUGGAAUUAUGGGUGAGGAGAGAGGAUCGAUGAGGGAAAAAGGGGGAAAACACCAGAUUUUUCAUUAUUCGAUGGUCUAAUAUUGACACGUUGGUUUAAUAGUGUUGUCGAUAUUAUUAGUAUUAUCAUUGCUGCUAUAUCAUAUUACUGAUGUUGCUGUUGUUUAGGGGAUAAGGGGUGGUUGGCCG
rnacentral:lncRNA from 1 species